rnacentral:rRNA from 1 species
AUACCACGUUAUCCGGUGUCAUCUUGCGAAAGGCGGCCAGCACCUGGAAAAAAAACCACUAGAUUCCCGUCUGUAUUUUCGGUUAGUAUGCUCUCUUGCUUGGCUUUCACCAGAUGGUCCACUACAUCCUCUUGAUAGAUGCAGUCUUCCCGUUGGAUCUGAGCGAGCAUCCAAUUUGCAACAGUAUCCGCGUCCAUCAACUUCUCUCAGGCGCAAGGUCAACACGUACCAAGCUUUCAGUUCGAAAUUCGCCCUGAUCCAGUUUCUUGCCGGCAAACCAUUGACACGUAUAGAGGUUGUUGGAAAGGCGAUAAGCUCUCACCGUCAUAUCGGGACCUCCGGAUUUCAAUUUUACAAUUUCACCAACCUUGAAUUCGAUACCAGUGCUCAUUCCUUUGCCUUCUCGUAUGACGGGGAAAUUUCCCACGCCUCACAGUAUCGAGAUGGCAAAAGGCUUUCAAGCUGGGAGGGACUGACAUUGCGAUCAAGCUUCGUUUUGUGGGUAGUUGUUUAGAUAGACCAAACCGUCUCAGUGAGACCAAAACGUCACAAUGCGAGAUAAUUCACUGCCUUUUCGCGAAUAUGCGGAGUUUUCACUUGGAAGUGCUGCGCGGAGAUAAGCUCAAAGCUGAGCACAUCUAUCGGAGCCCAUAUGCCAGUCAUCGAUUGCGAUUACCUGCCCGCCCCAUCCAAAGACCGCAAUUCCCACCAGAACUGGCGCUGCUGAUCGUGCGCAAGGCUGCCUCAAUGGCCGAGGCGUUCGAACAGCAGGCCCUGGGACCCAGUUGAACCAAGGACGCAAAUCUCAGCGAUAUCCGCCGGGCGCCCGAUCCGCGCCAGGUCAUCCGGCAGAUGCGGUUUGUAACUUUCCUCCGGUGGCAGGGAAGUUGGAGGGUAUUCCCACCCGGCGGGUGGUGGGACCAAAAUCCUUUUUACCAACCUUCUUCGCGAAACUCACCGAGAAUUUCCUC